rnacentral:rRNA from 1 species
GACGAACGCUGGCGGCGAGCCUAAUACAUGCAAGUUGAGCGCUGAAGGUUGGUACUUGUACCAACUGGAUGAGCAGCGCACGGGUGAGUAACGCGUGGGGAAUCUGCCUUUGAGCGGGGGACAACAUUUGGAAACGAAUGCUAAUACCGCAUAAAAACUUUAAACACAAGUUUUAAGUUUGAAAGAUGCAAUUGCAUCACUCAAAGAUGAUCCCGCGUUGUAUUAGCUAGUUGGUGAGGUAAAGGCUCACCAAGGCGAUGAUACAUAGCCGACCUGAGAGGGUGAUCGGCCACAUUGGGACUGAGACACGGCCCAAACUCCUACGGGAGGCAGCAGUAGGGAAUCUUCGGCAAUGGACGAAAGUCUGACCGAGCAACGCCGCGUGAGUGAAGAAGGUUUUCGGAUCGUAAAACUCUGUUGGUAGAGAAGAACGUUGGUGAGAGUGGAAAGCUCAUCAAGUGACGGUAACUACCCAGAAAGGGACGGCUAACUACGUG